rnacentral:rRNA from 1 species
UACGGGGGGGGCAAGCGUUUUCGGAAUUACUGGGCGUAAAGGGCUCGUAGGUGGCCAACUAAGUCGGACGUGAAAUCCCUCAGCUUAACUGGGGAACUGCGUCCGAUACUGGAUGGCUCGAGUUUGGGAGAGGGAUGCGGAAUUCCAGGUGUAGCGGUGAAAUGCGUAGAUAUCUGGAGGAACACCGGUGGCGAAGGCGGCAUCCUGGACCAACACUGACACUGAGGAGCGAAAGCCAGGGGAGCAAACGGG